GAUGAACGCUGGCGGCGUGCUUAACACAUGCAAGUCGAACGGUGAACGAGGGAGCUUGCUCCCUCCGGAUCAGUGGCGAACGGGUGAGUAACACGUGCGCAAUCUGCCCCGAACUCUGGGAUAAGCGCUGGAAACGGCCUCUAAUACCGGAUACGACGCGCGAAGGCAUCUUCUGCGCGUGGAAAGAAUUUCGGUUCGGGAUGAGCUCGCGGCCUAUAAGCUAGUGGGUGAGGUAACAGCGCACCAAGGCGCCGAAGGGUAGCCGGCCUGAGAGGGAGACCGGCCACACUGGGACUGGGACACGGCCCAGACUCCUACGGGAGGCAGCAGUGGGGAAUAUUGCACAAUGGGCGCAAGCCUGAUGCAGCAACGCCGCGUGAGGGACGACGGCCUUCGGGUUGUAAACCUCUUUUAGUAGGGAAGAAGCGAAAGUGACGGUACCUGCAGAAAAAGCACCGGCUAACUACGUGCCAGCCGCCGCAGUAAGAC
rnacentral:rRNA from 1 species